rnacentral:rRNA from 1 species
UACGUAGGGUGCAAGCGUUGUCCGGAAUUAUUGGGCGUAAAGAGCUCGUAGGCGGUUUGUUGCGUCGGCUGUGAAAUCCCGAGGCUCAACCUCGGGUCUGCAGUCGAUACGAGCAAACUAGAGUGUUGCAGGGGAGACUGGAAUUCCUGGUGUAGCGGUGAAAUGCGCAGAUAUCAGGAGGAACACCAGUGGCGAAGGCAGG